AUUCCCUCUACCACCCUCCCCAUCCACCCCUUUCUCUACUGCUCCCUUUAGGUAACCAAUCAUACUAGUUUCUGUGUUCCAGUGUUUUUCCAUAACAGUGCAUAGAGUAGAGUGUCUGUUCUAUUUCAGUAGCCACAUGGUAUUCCAUUGUGUGGAUGUGGCAAAGUUUAUUUAACCAGUUCGCUAUUGUGAGAGUUGGAUUGUGCCCAGUCUUUUGCUAUUACAAACAGUACUUCAGUGAAUAAUUAUAAACAUGUAUCACUUCUUAUAUGUGCAGGUGCAUCUGUAGAAUGAGUUCAAAACGUAAACACAUUUGUAAUUCUGAUAGUGUCAAUUUGCAUUUCCACCUGUAAUAUCUGAUACUUGUUGCUCAUAACCUCAUCAAUAGAAUGUAUUGUUACACGUUUAGAUUUUUGUCAGUCUUAGAGGUGAGAAAUAAUACCUCAAUGUGAUUUAAUUUUCAUUUGUAUUUCUAUAAUAAUAACUGAGAUUAGGCAUAUUUUUACAGGUUUUAGAAGCCAUUUAUAUUAGUUCUUUUGUUAUUCAUCUAUAUUCUUGGUCUAUUCACUCAUAUUUCUUGAAAUGCUUUUAUGGUUUCUUUUUUUUUUCUACUUGUUAUUUUUACAUUUAAAUCUAUGAAUCACUUAAAGCUUGUUCUAGCAUACAGUCAUAUGAGAUAUAUUGAGGUAUGGAUCCAACUUUUGUUUUUAGAUCACAACCCAGUAAUCCAAAGUCCUUAUGAGCCUACUGAUUAGAGAUGCUAUUUUUUUCAUCACUUAACUUUUUAUUUUAUAUACACUGACAGAGUUCUUUUAGGCCUAUUUAGGUAUAGAAGUGACAAAUAAUUGUGAGAUUGUGAGGUACCAUUGAGUUCCGAGAUAUUAAAUCCCAAAUUCACAGACGUCAAUGUGUGAAUAAAUGUGCAUCUUAGAACUGACGAAAUAUAGUAUACCUCGUCACUGAGUGUGUUUGUUUGCUUAUUAUUAGCUUCUACCACAUUACUACAAGCUCUUCAUUCUAAUUCCUAUUUUAGACUAAACUUAGAGAUGCUAUUUUUGUCAUGUAGUAACAUCAUGUACCUGGUUCAAUUUUUGGACUUUCUAUUCUCUCUCAUUGGCCUCAUUCUUUAUUCACCCACUUUUCCAAUUGCUGAGACAUACAUCACUGCAGAUUUGAAUUUUUGGUAGGGUUAGUGUCCUCACAUUGUUUUUCUUUUUCGGAACUUCACUAACUUCUCUAGCUUAUCUUUCUAGUGAAUGUCUUGUAGUUCUCUUUGUGAUCAUUUAAUCUUGGGUGUAAGGACACAAAGAACAAAACAGACUUCUACAUAUGUUAUAGGAACUUCAUUCUAGAUAAUUUUUCUUCUCUUAUUAAAAAAAAUUGAAACCGACUCUGAAUGAACUUUCUAAUGUUGCAGGACUUUUCCUCAGUUCAGCUAAAGAUGGAGUCCUUGUCUGUCCCAUGGCCAUGAAAAUUUAGGCUUGCAGAUGGUUUAGAGGGUGAGUAAAGCAGGGUUUUAUCGGGUGAAAAGGGGGAAAAAGUGGGAAACAGGGACUCUUGCAAGGCCAGAGUCCCUAUGCUAGAGCGCUUCCCACCAGGCCCUGCGGAUCCUGGGUUCCACAAAGUCCCUGUGAACUUCCCGAGUCUCCAUGUCAGUGGGCAGGCUGGUUGGAGUUUCUCUAGGGACCCCCUCCCACCUGGCUGUCUCAUCCCCCACUCUAAAGAAGUACAUCUAACUGCCAUUAGAUUAAGGAGAAGGAUGAAGACCAAUCUUAACUGCUUCCGGUUGACAGGGGCGCUGUUUUGGGGAAGCGGCAGUCAGAUCUCCCUCAGAGGCCUAAGGGUUCCCAGCAGAAGGGGCCAUUGUCAGAGGCUUUGGUUGCAUGACUGUUUGGAGUCUGAUGGCCUGAAGGCAAGAACAGACAAACUGGGUUAUUAGAAAACAUGUAUCAAAAUGAAACAAGGGGAGGGGUAAAGACAGCUCAAAAAUCCCGAGGGCUUUUACCAGUUUACACAGAGAGAGGCAGGUAAUAAACUUUACCCUUUUGCUGGCAUGUUGGGCUUCUGGGUUCCCUUCCCCCGAGUCCAAUCCUAAGCCAACCAGUUUAAAGUUUGGAAAAUUAACUCUUUUCAGGUUGGAGGAUGCAUCUGAGGGGAGUGUCCCAUAGUACAGAGACACAAUUACCUAUCAGUGAAGAGAGGCCCAAGGAGAAGAAAGGAAAAAGAGAGGGCAACUUUUAAAGGAGUCCCAGGGGUUCAGGAUGCAUUUGAAAGGGGUACAGACUGGAGAUGAGUGACUACCCAUCUACAAAAAGGAGAGCAGGCAUCCCUGUUUCCCUUCUCUUGCUAGCAGAUACUCAUGGUACAUGAGGAAGAAAGGGAAGAGCGUCCUCUUUCCAUCUUUCAUCCUUGCAUCCCCGAGUCCCGGCUUCCUUGGCAGGUCCUGCCAUGAGUGCCAAAGUGGCUUGUACCAAUGAAGCGGGGCGGCGGGGGGGCUAAAGAAUAGGAAUUAUCUGCUCUCAAUUAUGUCUCUUUCCCACCUGCUGUCAGUAGCCUUGGAGUUCCCUAGAACUCAUUUAUGCCAUGGAUAUUAACGUGGCCUUUAUCCAUGAAACAGAAAGCUUGGGCUUGGCUUAAUAAGCAGGAAUCAGCCAUGCUCACCUGCGCUGUGCCUUUUAACCUCUGUUGUCAUUUGCCUCUGGAUCCCUCAGAUCCAGUUUUCCUUCCUAGGGCUUUGACAUGAAACUUGGGAUUCAGUUUUGGACAAAAAUAUGUCUCGGGGGGUUGCAUAGACACCUUAUCAUAAGCUGAAUGCUAAGUUAAAACUGUGGAACUGAGUCCUCCUCCAAAGAUGGAGGGGAAAGGAUGUUUUGUGACAAACCCAGAUAACUGGUGGCUGUAGUUAUGCUUGCUAGGAUUUGGGCACAUGGCGUUUGUCUUUGGUUAGCUCUUUUUUGUGAGUUUAGAAUUUAAUGACAAACAUAAGUUUUGAAACAUGAUUUCUCUCUCUCCAGUCCUCAUGUUUGUUAAAAAACAAAUCAUCAUAGGACUGAGUGGUUUGCAAAAUAGAGUUUAGUUUUAUAUUUGGCCUGAUUAUUUGCAUAAAGUACAGCAAGAAUAAUUAUUUCUACAUAUGCCUUUUGGAUUGGCUUUGA
rnacentral:lncRNA from 10 species